UACGUAGGGUGCGAGCGUUGUCCGGAAUUAUUGGGCGUAAAGAGCUUGUAGGCGGUUUGUUGCGUCUAUCGUGAAAACCUGCAGCUUAACUGUGGGCUUGCGGUGGAUACGGGCAGACUUGAGUUCGGUAGGGGAGACUGGAAUUCCUGGUGUAGCGGUGAAAUGCGCAGAUAUCAGGAGGAACACCGAUGGCGAAGGCAGGUCUCUGGGCCAUAACUGACGCUGAGAAGCGAAAGCAUGGGGAGCGAACAGG
rnacentral:rRNA from 1 species